rnacentral:rRNA from 1 species
UACGUAGGGGGCAAGCGUUGUCCGGAAUCAUUGGGCGUAAAGCGCGUGUAGGCGGCUCGAUAAGUCUGCUGUGAAAAUCCAGGGCUCAACCCUGGGAUGCCGGUGGAUACUGUCGAGCUCGAGUCCGGAAGAGGCGAGUGGAAUUCCUGGUGUAGCGGUGAAAUGCGCAGAUAUCAGGAGGAACACCAAUGGCGAAGGCAGCUCGCUGGGACGGUACUGACGCUGAGACGCGAAAGCGUGGGGAGCAAACAGG